ensembl:lncRNA
GUGAGUAACGUGAUGAAGGUCUAGCAACACACCCUGAACCACAUGAUGAGGAAGGUCUUACUGCAGUGAGUAACGUGAUGAAGGUCUAGUAACACACCCUGAACCACAUGAUGAGGAAGGUCUUACUGCAGUGAGUAACGUGAUGAAGGUCUAGUAACACACCCUGAACCACAUGAUGAGGAAGGUCUUACUGCAGUGAGUAACGUGAUGAAGGUCUAGUAACACACCCUGAACCACAUGAUGAGGAAGGUCUUACUGCAGUGAGUAACAUGAUGAAGGUCUAGUAACACACCCUGAACCACAUGAUGAGGAAGGUCUUACUGCAGUGAGUAACGUGAUGAAGGU